GCAAAUGCAGCAAUAACAACACCCCGUGAACCAGGCGGAAAUAAUACUAGCACAACAGCAUGCGACAAAACAGAAAUGAACAUAACACACACAGAAGGCCUAAAACAGAGUAUGGAUCAAGGGGGCUUAGAUAUAUCAUGUCUGAAAGGGAAUAGCUCCAGGUACCGAGUAAGGCGCAGCAUGCAGAGGCGGAUUACAGGACCAGGCCCUGAAGCUAAAUGCACUGGCAAACCAUGAUUGACCAACUCCCUGACCAACAUGGCUGACCUUAGGACCAUCGUAAGAAGUUUCCAACAGCCUGCCUGCUGCCUGACCUACAUACCUGUACCACCCCCGGCGUGAAGAGCCGCACUGCCCACUGCGAACACCAAGCUUGAUGGGUAAUGUGGUCUAACAUUGCUGGGCCAACAAAACCAAAUAAACUCAUGAAAGGAAAGUUACCAUAACUAAGAGGAGCACUGAACUGUUCAAAUGUCUUCCUUUCUAGAAAAAAAAGUCAGUACUAUUUUUUGGAUUUUCAAGUCCCAUUGAUUCAAAUCAGAUUCAGAGCCAAACAUAACCCAUGAUGCUAUGUUUUUUUGGAGCAAACUGAACCUUUGUAUCUGCCAAGCCUUAAGAAAAUGCUUCCCAACAAGCAAGAUCAUUCCAAUAGUUAUCUAAAAAUACUGGAUGACCUACAACAGACUGCCUGGGUAAAAUGAACCAGUUAAUUCACUACAAUUGUUUCAGUAACAGAAUACUGCAAAACCCUCAAAUUAAAAGACACAGAAGUUGCACAGGGAAGUUGUACAGGGAACACAACAUUCUCUAAAUAUUGCUUGUUGACUGCAGGAGCUGUGUCAGACAUUACAGUACCAGCACAGUGGGUAGUCUGAACACCACAUACCUAUUCCCCAGACAAGGAGCCCUAUAUCUCUUCUCCAACAUGGCAGGACAAGCAGCAGAGCAGGAAGAGUCCUGUCAUCACCAGGACUGAGAGAAGGGUGCAGGUGCACACUUAAGUGAAUUAAGAUGAUAAGCAAGUCAUUGGAUGCUUAAUUUGAGGCUGGCAUAGCAAUCAACGCUUUCUCACUACCAGUGUUAACCUUUUCAGCUGCCAGGGAUACUCUGGGUUUGACACAUAUAAGCCAUAAUAUGGUAUUACAUGGAAGUCUAGAGUCUCUAGAGAUUGAGAAAAUAAUUUCAAAUUCUCUACUUCAAUCUCUUCCUCAUAUACA